CCUACGGGUGGCAGCAGUGAGGAAUAUUGGUCAAUGGCCGUAAGGCUGAACCAGCCAAGUCGCGUGAAGGAAGAAGGAUCUAUGGUUUGUAAACUUCUUUUAUAGGGGAGCAAAGCGAGUCACGUGUGACUCAUUGAGAGUACCCGAAGAAAAAGCAUCGGCUAACUCCGUGCCAGCAGCCGCGGUAAUACGGAGGAUGCGAGCGUUAUCCGGAUUUAUUGGGUUUAAAGGGUGCGCAGGCGGAGGUGCAAGUCAGCGGUAAAAUUGCGGGGCUCAACCCCGUACUGCCGUUGAAACUGCAUCCCUUGAGUGCGCGAGAAGUAUGCGGAAUGCGUGGUGUAGCGGUGAAAUGCAUAGAUAUCACGCAGAACUCCGAUUGCGAAGGCAGCAUACCGGCGCGCAACUGACGCUCAUGCACGAAAGCGUGGGUAUCGAACAGGAUUAGAUACCCUUGUAGUC
rnacentral:rRNA from 1 species